ACAUUUUGCAUGCAAAGAAAGCCAGAGUGGCUAGAUUACUCCCUUAGGGUAAUGGAGAAAGGAAAAAGAAAUUGAAAAAGGUCAGGUGAACAAAGCAGAAGGAAUGAAGAGGUUUGUGUGAUUCUUAGUGAAAUUGGACCAGUCUAAGCAACCAGACAGUGCAGUUCAGGAAACCAGGCUGAAGAAUGUGAAAUACAUCGCCCAAAGUCAGACACGGAGGAACAACUGCUUCGGAGCUAGCAAUUUCCUGAGCUGGAAUUGCACCACUGGCCUGUAGAAUCCAAACUGUUUUCUACCAGAACAACUCCUUCCCUGCAGGAAGCAGGGUGUGCACAGCUGAACCCUGGUCUGAGAAGGUUGAAGUCACUGACUCAGCCCCAGCAAGGAAGUUGCCCUUCGACUUCUGACCUCUGGCCCUGUUUGAAAACCAACUCAAAUCGUUUUUCUUUUUCAGAAGCUGCUUGCCUCCGCUUCACCUUCCACCAUGAUUGUAAGUUUCCUGAGGCCUCCCAGUCAUGCUUGCCGUUAAAACUGUGGAACUGCUUUACAACGAAUGUAAAAGACAAGUCUCAGGAAAAGAUGUAAUUUUAUGGAAGAAAAAAGAUAGAAAAUAACAUUACCCAAAUGAAAACAGAUGAAGAUAAAGAUCAUUUCUUGAACAAUAUCUUCACAUCAUGGCUGGGCAAAGUGGAAAGAGACAGAAAACUGGUAAUUAUUGCCAGCAGACUUAAAAUAUGUAUUUAGGCAGUAAAUUUUUUAUUAUUUUAUUUCUUUAUUUUUAAUUUUGCAAGUAUCUCAUGAAUACAUUUUUUAAAAAUAACAAUUGAAAUGAUGCAGUCAAAGAAAAAGUUCCUCCUUUGGCCCCACCAAAUCCCACUUUCUUGUCCAAAGAGUUUAUCAAAAAACAUACAAGAAAUAACAAAUCUGGAAGGUCAUAAUUUUCUCAAUAAGAAAAAUAUAUGCUAGCUCUGCCUUGCUACUCUUAUUAUGCUCACUUUUGAUUAUCAGGCAACUUUGAGUAUAAAAUUUCUGGUAUUGCUAUUUCUCUUUUGAAUUUUGUGAUGCUAAAAUGUUCUUGAAAUUAAAAUGUUCCACCCCUUCCCACUCUUCAGAUCCCCAUCUGUUCUCUUGUGAGCACAAGACCCACACAGCUGGUCUCAGACAUGGUCACAUCCACACUGAUAUAAGAAUAUGUUCGAGUAAGCAAUCUGUGGUUUGGUGAUUUAAUUAAUUCUACAAGACACCUAAAAAGUGCCAGGUGGAAGGACACAGAUAAAUAAGACAGUAUCCAGCCUUUAAGGAAAUCCUGGCAUAACACUAAAGAAAACUCAAUAUUUUUAUCCAGCAGAAGCUGGAACUGAAGUGACUAGUGCCUAGGCUUUGGAGUCAUGCAGAUCUGGGUUUGAAUCCAGCCCUGCCACCUAUCAUUUCCAUGACCUUUAGAAGGUGAUGAUAUUGACACUUCAUAAGAUUUUGUCAUGCUUUGCCUUUUCACACCGCUCCAUGCCACCUCACACUUUAUGGCUACAGAUUCUAUCCCUCUGGCCACAGAAGUGGGCCCAAGAUAGGUCAGUUAGUGUUUAUUACCUCUGGUCACGGUGAUUGGUUCAGAGAUGGACACAGUAUCUAAUCUGGGCCAAUCAGAUUCCUUCUCUGAGAUUUUAUCUUUUUCUAUCUGGAGCUAGAAGGGAAGAACUUUUUUUCUUUUGGAUGAUGAGGCUAUAAGCAAGUAAUUUCAAGGGUGCCUGCAGCCAUUGUUUC
ensembl:lncRNA novel transcript